rnacentral:tRNA from 18 species
GUAGUUCAGUCGGUAGAACGGCGGACUGUUAAUCCGUAUGUCACUGGUUCGAGUCCAGUC